GUGCCCCCUUCCACGCUCAGUGAGGAGGACACCUGCCAUGAUAGAGGAGGACUGUCUGUCUGAUAAGGGUAUACAGGUGGCUGUGGUCCCGUCCCAGAACCUCCAGACAAGCUCUCAAGGACCCGUUGUAGGAGAAGGGAGGGUAGUCAAGCUUCCAUGACUCCAGACACAUCCACGCGAGGCUCCGCUUUUCUU
ensembl:misc_RNA 7SK 7SK RNA